rnacentral:rRNA from 1 species
UACGGGGGGGGCAAGCGUUGUUCGGAAUUACUGGGCGUAAAGGGCUCGUGGGCGGCCAACUAAGUCGGACGUGAAAUCCCCAGGCUCAACCUGGGAACUGCGUCUGAUACUGGAUGGCUUGAAUCCGGGAGAGGGAUGCAGAAUUCCAGGUGUAGCGGUGAAAUGCGUAGAUAUCUGGAGGAAUACCGGUGGCGAAGGCGGCAUCCUGGACCGGCAUUGACGCUGAGGAGCGAAAGCCAGGGGAGCAAACGGG